ACCCCCCGGCGUCUCGGUGGCCGGCGUCUUCCCUCCACUGGGAGCGCGGGCGGCCCCUCUACCUCACGCGUCUCGGUGGCUGGCGCCAACCCCGCCCGCCCACUCUGCGGCGCUCUGAGGAAAUGGCUGCGAAACCCUGGAGACUUGCGGCCCACGGAGCUUACUCCGUGGACACAGUCUCAAGAUAAUUUGCCUUGUGAUCUGUGAACAGUGGCUGACGACAACAGCAUUGGGGGCCUGGCGCUUUCCUUGUGCCACGAGGUUGUAACGGCCCUGUUUGUGCUGGGUUUAGGAAGUUGGGAGAAGUGCACAUGCUUCUGUGUGGGGCAGGUUUUCAUUCUGUACGAGUCCUUCCCCUGGGAUGGAACGUGGCAUAAAAUCUGAGUUGUCAUUAGCAUUUAAAUGUAACUGAAGCCUGUACAGCUUGGGGAAAAAAUUCUUAAGGUAUGGACGAGAAGGGUGACCCAAGUGGUGAGGAGGCGCCCAAAGCCAUCAAGCCUACCAGCAAGGAGUUCCGGAAGACAUGGGGCUUCCGGAGGACCACCAUCGCCAAGCGUGAGGGUGCCGGGGAUGCGGAGGCGGACACCCUGGAGCCGUCGCCCCGGCAGCAGCAGAGCCCGUCUCUGCGGCGCAGUGGGCGGCAGCCAAAGCGCACCGAGCGGGUGGAGGAGUUUCUGACCACCGUGCGGCGCCGCGGCCGUCGGAGCGCCCCCGCGUCCCUGGAGGACUCCGGGGAGCCAGCGUCCUGUCCGGCGACAGAUGCGGAGACCGCCUCUGAGGGCAGUGUGGAGAGCGCCUCAGACGGAAAGAGCGGGCCCAGGUCCAGCUCCACAGGUGCUAAGCAGCGGCAGGCCUCCUCGGCAAAGGCCAGAGAGGGCGAGGACGAGGACGACACGUCCGACAGCGACAGUGACGGACUGACCUUGAAGGAACUCCAGAACCGCCUGCGGAAGAAGCGUGAGCAGGAGCCUACGGACCGGCCCACGAGGGGCAUCCAGAACCGCCUGCGGAGGAAGCGGCGGGAGGAGGACCCGGCUGAGACCGUGGACGUCCAGGCGGGUGAUGCAAUGGAGGGCUCGCUGCCCGCCUCACGGGAGCCUGAGGGCGACCUGGGGGCUGCAGCCCAGGCAGCGAAAGAGGACAGAGAGGGCCGACCAGAUGGGAGAGUGGCCCCGGGAGGGAGAGCUGAGGAAGCUGCAGACUCGGUCCGGCACAAGCCGGAGUGUGAGGUGUACGACCCCAGUGCCCUGUACUGCCUGUGCCGCCAGCCUCACAACAACAGGUUUAUGAUUUGCUGUGAUCGAUGUGAAGAAUGGUUUCAUGGUGACUGUGUGGGCAUUUCUGAGGCUCGAGGGCGGCUCUUGGAGAGGAAUGGGGAAGACUACAUCUGCCCCAAUUGCACGAUCCUGCAGGUGCAGGACGAGGCCAGCUCAGAAGCCACAGACAUGCAGGACACGAGGUCAGGACCCCUGGGUGCCGACAGCACAGACUUCACCAGUAUAGGAACCGUGGAGCAGAAGUCAAGUGAAGACCAGGGAAUUAAGGGUAGAAUUGAAAAAGCUACAAACCCAAGUGGCAAGAAGAAACUCAAGAUAUUCCAGCCCGUCGUGGAGGCGCCUGGUGCUGCCAAGUGCAUCGGCCCUGGGUGCUCAAGCGUGGCGCAGCCCGACUCGGUCUACUGCAGCAACGACUGCAUCCUGAAGCAUGCCGCAGCCACCAUGCGCUUCCUGAGUGCAGGGAAGGAGCAGAAACCCAAAGCAAAAGAAAAGCUCAAGACAAAGCCAGAAAAAAUCGUUCUUCAAAAAUGUAGCGUUCAAGCAGGCAUUAAAAUCUCUUCUGUGCACAAGAGACUGGCUUCAGACAAGAAGGAAAACGCAGUGAAGAAGGCAGCAGUGGCCCCUCCCAGGAACGAGGUCCUCACUAAGGAGCCAGCCUGUGAGAGCAGCACGCCAUCCUGGGCCAGCGACCACAAUUACAAUGCAGUAAAGCCAGAACAGACUGCUGCCCCCUGGCCGCCACUGUUGUAUAAAUCUGCGAAGGAGGACAGACGCAUGGAGGACAAGACGGCUGUGGUGGUGGCGAAGAAGUUGGCUCCUCCAGGGUCCUCGGGGGCCGGCAGACAACCCCCAGGCAGAAAUCUCCUUCCAAAGAAGUCCCCUUCUUUUGCAAACACAGCAGUGGCCAAGCCCACUGUCAGAAAGUCGCCCUCCGGCUUCAAGGGCACCAUCCCCAAGAGGCCGUGGCUCUCGGCCACCACUGCCCCCUCAGGCAGUGCUCCCCCUGCCAAGCAGGCAGGGCUGGUGGCUGCUGCUGCCUCAUCUGCUUCCAGAAAGUUCCCCAGCUCUGCUGCUUCUGUGGGAGCUGUCAGGAAGCCUGGGAGUACCUCAGUUCCCCUGGCCUCUUCAGCCCCAGGACGCUUGGGCCCUGUGAGCCCCGCUUCAUCACAGCCAAAUUCACAGAUUCGGCAGAAUAUAAGACGCUCCUUGAAGGAGAUCUUGUGGAAAAGAGUCAAUGACAGUGAUGACUUAAUCAUGACAGAAAAUGAAGUAGGGAAAAUCGCACUGCUCAUCGAGAAGGAGAUGUUUAACUUGUUCCGAGUCACGGACAAUCGGUACAAGAGCAAGUAUCGCAGCCUCAUGUUCAACCUCAAGGACCCCAAAAACCAGGGACUUUUCCAUCGAGUUCUGCGUGAAGAAAUCUCAUUGGCAAAACUGGUGAGAAUGAAGCCAGAAGAACUGGUCUCCAAAGAGCUCUCCGUGUGGAGAGAGCGAACGACAAAGCCCGUGAUGGAGUCCAGAACGAAAUUGCACAAUGAGACUAAGAAGCCUGCCAUUAAACAGGAAGCCGUUCCCGACAUGGAAGACUCUCCACCAGUGUCAGACUCUGAUGAGCAGCAAGAGUCGGUGCGGGCAGCCCCCGAGCGGAGUGCAGCGCCGCUGCCAGGUGUCUUCAGCAGCAUGCUGCAGGACACGACCAGCCAGCACCGGGCGCACCUCUUUGACCUAAACUGCAAGAUCUGCACGGGUCAGGUUCCAUCCUCGGAAGAUGAGCCAGCUCCGAAAAAACAGAAGUUGUCAACUUCUGUCAAGAAGGAAGAGUCCAAGUCCAAGCGCGACAGCCCCCCACCUGAGCCGGUUCUCAGCGAGGCAGAUGAUGUGGCGCCUGAAACCCCGCCUGAAAAUGCCUCAGAGCCAGACCUGGAAAGUGCAGCUCGAACCCACUUAGAGGGGAAGUACCUCCCAGCGCCUCUGGAGGAUAGCCAGCCUGAGCCCCCCGCCCUGGAAGGUCCACCCUGCCCCGCCCCUGGUGGUGGCAGCGUGCUCACCACGGUCACGAUGUCCGGUCGGGACCCCAGGACUGCAUUGGGCGGGCCGAGCACGGCCACAACUCCUGCAACAACCCACCCGGAGGGCACCACCCCAGCAGAGCCCCGACAAGACAUACCAAAGCCAGUGCCACCCUCCGUGACGGUGCCCAAGUCCAUCCUGGCCAAACCAUCCAUGUCCCCUGAGCCUAGAUAUCUCCUGUCCGUGCCACCGUCCCCAAGCAUCAGCAUCUCAGAGUCCCGGUCCCCUCCUGAAGGAGACACAACUCUCUUCUUGUCUCGACUCAGCACGAUUUGGAAAGGAUUUAUUAACAUGCAAAGCGUAGCCAAGUUUGUCACUAAGGCGUAUCCUGUCUCUGGAUGUUUUGAUUAUCUCAGUGAGGACCUGCCCGACACGAUUCACAUUGGCGGGAGGAUUGCUCCAAAGACCGUGUGGGAUUACAUCGGCAAGCUCAAAUCCUCAGUGUCCAAGGAGCUCUGUCUGAUCCGCUUCCACCCCGCGACUGAGGAGGAGGAGGUAGCCUAUAUCUCACUCUACUCCUACUUCAGCAGCCGCGACCGCUUUGGCGUCGUGGCCAACAACAGCCGGCACGUCAAGGACCUCUACCUGAUCCCACUCAGCGCCACUGACCCCAUCCCCUCCAAACUGCUGCCCUUUGAGGGGCCAGGUAAGCACCAGCCUUCAGACCCCAAGCAUCCCCUCCCGCCGAUGCCAAGCCUCCCCUAGACCUGCCUCGGCAGUGGAACUUGGAGCAGGGCUGAAGCAGAUUGGGCUGCAGAACUUCCAGGGUAGAGGAGGGGCACUGUGGAGGUACCUUGUCAAGGCGUAAAUUGUCUUAAAGAGUUCUGUGCAGAGGGCCAAGCCUGCAGUGUCCACCUAGAGCCUGCCUGGCGCCAGGUAAGCAGGUGUUGACGCGCAGGAGCUGGGGCAGUGCAGGGCGGGCUGAGGUCUGACGUUUCGGUCCUGCCUCCCUCUGGACGUCGGCCGGGCUCUUCCUCCUCGUCUUGGGGAUUCAUUUCGAGGAGAUGCAGGAAAUGGCAGUGAGAUAGGAAAUGGCUCUAGAAAUAGGCACUUUGAAACCUGCUGCUCGAGUUUUACCUUCAGCGGGCCUCUUUCUGCUUGCUUCUUCCUUACAAAAUGCUGUGUCAAAGCGUGACUACACACUGAUCUCUAGUGGAGGGGCCACGGUGGUUCCAAGGGGGACGUGGUCUCUGAGGGCCCUCUAAACCCUGAGAGGUUGAUGUGACUAAAGUUUCACAGAAAGAUGCCAAUGUGGGAGCGUCUCCUUGGCCAUGAUGCCCCCACGACUGAUGGCUCCUCAGAGAUGCCGAGUCCACCACGUGUUCGGGGCUCUUGAAGUACUUUACUUCAGGGGUGGUGGCUGCACCUGGCAUCUUUAGGGGCCCCCUGCACCUGGCAUCUCCGUGUCCAUGGCCAUGCUCCUGCCACAGCCACAUGCACACAUGUGCCCACCUGUGCUGGCUGGGUCCCCGCAGGGGGCUUGCCCCUGGUGGGCUCUGCAGCCGUGCCGCCAAAGUCCUGUCAGUCCCCAUAACCACAGGUUUGUGCUCCUAGCACCACACACAGACUGUCUCAAUGCCAAACACGUGUCAGAAGCCAAGUGCUUUGGGGGGCUGUCCCCCUUCCUCGUGCCAAAGUGGUGCUGCCUGACGGAUGGCUGGGAGGGCUGUGGCCAAAGUUCUUGGCAGGCAGCUCCUGAGGCUCUGGCCAGUCCCCGGACACCGUGUUCCUGAUGCUGCAGUGAUGGUCGUGAAGCCAGCUACCUGACACCGUGAGGAGCCUCUGGUCAGUCCUGAGGGCGGCAGCCUUCGUGGGGCCUAGCUCAAGCAUAGACGGGGAUAGGCACGCACAGAGUGCUUGUCUAGUGGGGCAGGGAGACCGUUCCAGCCUCCUCGGAGCCCCUCUUGUAGUUCAACCUGCAGACUUCGUGGCUCCGUCCCAGGGCAUCUUGUCACGUGAGCUGGGGACUAGCCAGGCUUGGGGCCACGGGACAGUCCCCGGGAGAGCAGGGGCGGAUGAGUCAGGAGUGGGGAUGGAGGAGGGAGGCAGUGGUAGGGGGCCACCAAGGAGACUUCCCCAGUGAAGCCCAGACAGGAGCUGACACACGGUGCCGUGCUGGGUGGGGGCCGCAGUGGGCACUCCGGGUGACACGGCCACAGGGAGGGCUGGGUGGGAGUGCUUUCCUCAACCACCAGGUGACCACACUGGGUGACUUAACAGGGUGGACUCACUCCUACCCCCACACUCCCGAGGCUGACUGCUGAGGGGUGCCCCACAGCUCCUGUGGCAGGUUUUCACCCACAGUAGGCGAAGACGUUUCAAGACUUUGAUUGAAAGGCUUCUAAGUCUCAGCUCGUUUAACUUGGUAUAUGUGUUUUUAAUUCUCCUGGGAUGUUCAUCUGCCAGUGGUGUCUGUGUGUCUUCUCUCCACUUGCACGUCGGCCAGACGCCCAGACCCUGGGCCGCCCUCCUCCCUGAGCCGCUUCACACACUUAAAUCACGAUGCGGUGCAAGUGCUCGUGGGCAGGUCACAGGCUUGUGGUGUGUGCAGUGUCUGCCAGGUGGGCAGGGUGCUCUGCUGUCUCUGCACCGUGUUGAUGGCACAGGCCCAGCCUGAGGGGCGUCAUGUCCCUCACAGCAGCCAGCCCGGCUGAGCACCCACACUGCCUGGGGUGUUGCUGCCUGAAGUCACCGGGCCAGGGAAUGUGGAGCCAGGGUCUUCCCUGGCCCUGCCUCCAUCCUGAGGCCUCGCUGGGGCAUGGGGCUUUGAGCAGUCCGUAGGCCGGCUGCCGGGGCUGGAGGUGGAGAGUGACCUACUCAGCACAACUCAGUUGCUGGAAAAGUUACCAGUGCCCCUCACUGCUGAACUUAGGAGCCAGUGGGUUUUCACUGUGUGGCUCACACCCAAGAAGCAGGUGGAGACAAGGCUUUGAACCCGUGUCCAGAGCUGGGGAGGCCUGCACCCCCUGCCUUCUCUCAUCGUCCUCUCCACCCCGCACUGUGGAUGGUGGACCUGGAGGGGUCUCCACGCAGAGCCCACAGCCCAGCCCCCUGCACGGCGUCCAAGCACAGCGCAGCCUGCUCCGCCUCCAGGACCUUCUGUCCUAUGUGCUCCCAGACUUGUCCCAGAGAGGCCAGGCUGCCGUCAUGUCACAUGCUGCCCUGCAUGUUAUUUCGAGGGACAGCUGGGAGGCUUGUGUCCCUCUGACCCAGCUGACAGUACUCUCUAUGGUGGAAAGUAGCCCAGCUCGGCGCCCCUCAGGCUGGGACAAGGCUCCAGUGCUGGGACGCGGGGUCUCAGCCAGGGCUACCCAACCACAUUGAGCAGAGGACAGGGUCAUACCUUCUAAGGUGUGGCAAGGAGAAGGCUGUUCUCUUAGCAGAUGGGGUCAAUCCGUGGUGUCUUCUGUCUUCACUCCUAAUUGUCUCCUGAAUUAGCUGAAAAUGUCCGUGACUUGCAAUGUAGUCAGGUAAGCAUGUCUCGAGUGUCUGCAUGUGUGUGCGCGCACGCGCCUACUUGCGUGCUUCCAUAGCCGUGCAGAGAUACUGUUAUCAGAGUCACAGUCAUGCCAUGCAGAAUGUGUUUCUCUCUCCUUUGAAAUCAAUAAAAAAUAUUUCAUGGAAACUGGUCAUUGUUUGUCUGAGUUUGAACCGUUUGGUAGGUCUUGGUACCUGUCUAGGUGCACCGUGACCGAGGACUAUCUCUGCCUGCUUUGCCUAAGCCGACACCGUGAGCUUCCGGCUCUGCGGGCAGCACUGCACAUGCUCCUGGUUGCGGAUGGACAGCACUCUGCUCACUGGGACCACAGGUCUUAGGGACCCAGCGUGGGAGGUCUGCCGGGGAGUGAGUGUGCGGGGGAAGACAGGGCUUCUCUGCCCAGACACUGAGGGCGGUACCUAUUAACACCAACACAAUUUCUGUUCCCGCAGGUGUGAACAUUUUGUCUUGUCGGACUCAGGCCAUAAGAAGGUUUUCACUUUAAAUAAUGAAUAGUGGAGCAUGCCAGGUAGACUUAGGGGUAGGAGCAUCAUGAUGAUGGGGUUAAGGAGUCAGCUCUCAGCUGGUUUACUAAUUAAAGCUAAACCUCACCCUCCAAGCACCACAUCUGAGGUAUCUGGGGGGCACCUCCCACCCCGGGGAGGGAGGAUGCUGCUUCUCAUCACUUUCCCUGGCCACCCUGUUGCUGACACACUCAGACACAGGCCCUUGUUUGGACCUUGGCUCAGGAAAUAAUCACACACCUUUUCAGUGAGUCCAAUUCUGUAUGGCCAGUCUGGGACUGGCCCUCCCACCAUGGGGAUCUGGGGCUACGCGAAGCUGAAAGACUUGUUUCACCCUCUUGGACCAUUGUGAACCAUUUGCUCUCACAGUUUGGAGAGUCAAGUGGGGGUGCCAACACGCUGGUGCUCAGCCUGGUCAACACCCCUUGUCUGGAAUCAGUAGUUCAGUGUCCCCCGCACCUACUUCUCAUCUACUUUCUCAUAAGCCUCACAGCCACCCUCAAAGGGAGAUGGGUACAUCAGCACCCUGGCUGGUCACCCCUGCUGGUGCUGGGGUUCCCCCAUGCCCUCUCUGAAGCCCCUGUCUCUGCACACCCUUCUCAGGAUGCCUCUCCUCCAGGACUCACACUCAGCAGCGGUCAUGGCCACAUUGGCCCCAGUGGACGUCUUCGGAGACAACUGUCCCACCACCACCCCAGUGGCGGCCUUUCCAGACGCCCACGUGUGAGAGUGCAGAGCGGGUGCAGUGGACAUGCUCUCGUCUCCAUGAGGGUCACUGCUAAGGCCCCAAUGUAGUGCAGGGAAUUGUAGGUCUCCCAUAAGCAAGUCCUUUCCAAGGUGCUGGCGACAUUUCAGGUCUUCAUGCUCCAUAAGCUAAUUGUAUGACUCGGAUGAGAUCUGACUGCUUCCAGAUAGGGGCGUGCAUUGUGAGACGACCCAGUUUAAAUGUAAGAUCCUGGAGAAGAUUAGUAGGGAAGUCCAAAACUAACACUCCUCCAACUCCGGAACUUGACGAGGCGUGUGCAGAUGGGGUAGCUGAGACCAGAAAGCAUUUAACCACAGACCUGCUCAGGAGAUGCCAGGGAGCUUAGUAUUUUCAGAGCAAAUGUAGAUGUGAAGCAGUUCCAUCAUAAACCUUAUGUGUGAUGGCUGUGACCACAAAUGCAGAGUCUCAAGUGUCUUGCUGAGUCUGAGGUACACUUUGUUGGUUAGGAAGCAUCUGGAGCUGGUGAGAGCCAUGGUGGGAGCAGUGCUGACUGAGGACAGGAGGCUGACCCUGGAGCUAACGUGGUGACCAUGGUCCACACACGACCACUCUGGCCCGAGCUCGGUUCACACCCCAGGCAGGCCCUAGUGUUGGCCCUUCAGAGGUAUAGCUCUUCAGAGGUGGCACAGCCUGUCCACGGUGAGAACUGUCAUGGGCCCUGCCCUGAAAGGAUGGCCCUGGCCAGGGCUCCUGCCCGCCCUACCUGCCAUCGCCAAGCACAUCAGUCUGCUGCUCACAGGGCUGCCGAGGCUCCAGCUUGUGCUCAGCAUGGGGACCUGUUCUGCCAGCUCUGGGGCUGUGUUGGUGACAGCCCAGAAGGGCCUUGAGAGCCAGCUGAGCAACUGACUACCCCAGUCUGAGUUUUCGUGAGCUAUAAAUACUCAGUAGAAGGCUGUUAGGGUGAGAGGCAUACUAAGUUAGAGUAGUGCAUUUUGAUUAGAAAGUGAACUUGAUUGGUUACCUUUUGACAUCUGAGCAGAGCUAUCUGGAUACGAUGCUUGGCGCAGUGGGCCUGGCCCUCCUGUGCCCAUGUCCCCAUGACCCCCUGUGUCCAGCUUCUCCCCCCAUUCACAGCUGUGUCAGGUCAGACGGAGGACAUUCUGGAAGCCACUCCUCUCACUAGUGGGGUUCUUCAUGGGUCCUUGGCCAUUGAACGUCAACCUGUGAACAGGAGGCCCAGAAGCCAUGUGGGGAGGGGCUGGAGGUGCUUCGUGUGGAGGUUACCCGUGUGGAUGCUGGCCUGGCCCUCUCUGCUCUGCUGGCAUUUAGGAAAGGCGACAGAAAUACUUGGAACCACAUAAUGGUGUCCAGAGGCAACUGAUUUGUGAGCAACUUAAAAUCACAGAACAGGAAAAGCAGUCCUGAUUUUCUUCUUAGUCUCGAGUCACCGCGUCCAAACAUAAUCCUCGGGUUAGUGAUCUGUCAGAAAACAAAGCGGCCCUUAGGCGCUGGGGAGCUAGACAAGACGGAGGAGAAGCGGG